CGCAUAAUCUUCUUCUUUUACACUAUCCAUAAAUUCUCUUGGCAUACCCCGAAUUUCCAUUUGUCGAAGAGUAGAGAUGAAUUUCAAACCAUCUGGAACCUUCUCCAAAUUGAGGCACCCUUGGAUCCGCAAUUCAAUUGGAUUUGAAUUUCGCAAAAGGAAAGAAGAAUAGCAAAGGCAGGUUGGGCAAAUGGAAUUGCUGGAUAAGUACGCAAGCUCACAACAUAGAUCAGUUAUACUUUUUUGUUAGCUCAUUCUUUUGUGUUUAGUAAUGUUUGGAGGUUUGCUUUAUUCUUUUGUCUUUCGUAAUGUUUAGGUUUGCUUUAUUCUUUUGUUA